UCUAGUAGCUGGUUCCCUCCGAAGUUUCCCUCAGGAUAGCUGGUGCAUUUAAAAAUUAUGUAAAAUAAUCUUAUCUGGUAAAGCGAAUGAUUAGAGGCCUUAGGGUCGAAACGACCUUAACCUAUUCUCAAACUUUAAAUGGGUAAGAACCUCACCUUUCUUGAUAUGAAGGUUGAGGUUAUGAUAUAAUGUGCCCAGUGGGCCACUUUUGGUAAGCAGAACUGGCGCUGUGGGAUGAACCAAACGUAAUGUUACGGUGCCUAAAUUAACAACUCAUGCAGAUACCAUGAAAGGCGUUGGUUGCUUAAAACAGCAGGACGGUGGACAUGGAAGUCGUAAUCCGCUAAGGAGUGUGUAACAACUCACCUGCCGAAGCAACUAGCCCUUAUAAUGGAUGGCGCUUAAGUUGUAUACCUAUACAUUACCGCUAAAGUAUAUGGUUUAUAAAACAAUUGUUUUAUAAAUUUUGAAACUUUAGUGAGUAGGAGGGUACAAUGGUGUGCUUAGAAGUGUUUGGCGUAAGCCUGCAUGGAGCCGCCAUUGGUACAGAUCUUGGUGGUAGUAGCAAAUAAUCGAAUGAGACCUUGGAGGACUGAAGUGGAGAAGGGUUUCGUGUGAACAGUGGUUGAUCACGAGUUAGUCGGUCCUAAGUUCAAGGCGAAAGCCGAAAAUUUUCAAGUUUUAAUAAGAUAAUAAUAAUUAUUUAUAUAUAUAGAUGUUUUUUUUAAAAAUAAAUUAUAUUAAUUAUUAUUAAAUAAUUAAACACUUGAAUAAUUUUGAACGAAAGGGAAUACGGUUCCAAUUCCGUAACCUGUUGAGUAUCCGUUUGUUAUUAAAAAUGGGCCUUGUGCUCAUCCUGGCAACAGGAACGACCAUAAAGAAGCCGUCGAGAGGUAUCGGAAGAGUUUUCUUUUCUGUUUUAUAGUCGUACUACCAUGGAAGUCUUUCGAAGAGAGAUAUGGUAGAUGGACUAGAAGAGCAUGACAUUUACUGUUGUGUCGAUAUUUUCUCCUCGGACCUUGAAAAUUUAUGGUGGGGUUACGCAAACUUCUCAACAGGCCGUACCAAUAU
rnacentral:rRNA from 1 species